GAUGAACGCUGGCGGCGUGCUUAACACAUGCAAGUCGACCGGAAAGGCUCCUGCUUGCAGGGGUACUCGAGUGGCGAACGGGUGAGUAACACGUGGGUGAUCUGCCCUGCACUUCGGGAUAAGCCUGGGAAACUGGGUCUAAUACCGGAUAGGACCACAUUUUGGAUGGUGUGGUGGAAAGUUUUUCGGUGUGGGAUGAGCUCGCGGCCUAUCAGCUUGUUGGUGGGGUAAUGGCCUACCAAGGCGUCGACGGGUAGCCGGCCUGAGAGGGUGUACGGCCACAUUGGGACUGAGAUACGGCCCAGACUCCUACGGGAGGCAGCAGUGGGGAAUAUUGCACAAUGGGCGCAAGCCUGAUGCAGCGACGCCGCGUGGGGGAUGACGGCCUUCGGGUUGUAAACUCCUUUCGCUAGGGACGAAGCGUUUUUGUGACGGUACCUGGAGAAGAAGCACCGGCUAACUACGUG
rnacentral:rRNA from 1 species